rnacentral:lncRNA from 1 species
AAAAAUAAAAAAUAGUAACUUUUUAUUUUUACAUAUUUCGAUCUUACAUUCGGCCAAAACUCACUAAGGAGCUCUUUCAAAAUCUCCAAAUUUCCCCCUCUGGUAGUAGCAUGAACAACUCUAUUUAUCAUCUCCCACUUAAAAACAGAAGGGAUCUCCCCAAUUUGCUCCUCCAUCUCUCCACCUUUGUCGGUGGAGAACCUUGGAGAGACUACAAAAUAAAAAACAAGCCUAAAAACCUCACAAUUCUUUCUCCUGGCAGCAACAUAAAGUAUAUCAGUGACAUCAUAUUCUCCUUCUCCAAAAACA